rnacentral:lncRNA from 1 species
CAUUUUCUGAUAAUUACAUUUCCACCCCUUGCAAGCCCUAUUUAUUAUUAUAUAAUACACCUGACACUUUGUAAAAUAUUGCUUUGCUGCACCCAUUCUUUCUUCCCAUUUUCCAUUAAUUAUAAAAUCAGCCCUAACAUUUUCGGAAAAUUACAUUACCACCACUUUUUAGACAACACCCCAUUUUACAAUUCUUUUAUGUAUUGACGUUGUUCGUCGGAAGUUGGAAGGAA